UCACAUAGUUAACAGGCGCAGCUUAACGAUGUUCGACUGUGCUUCAGUUCCGAAAAAAAAAAAAUUCACAUGUGAAUCCGGAAUGAUAUGUCAGCUUACACGAGUGAAGAAUAAGUGACGCUUUUCACAAGUAAAAAUUCAAAGGAAACUUUUACGAAGUAACAGCGGAUUUCAAUUGUUCCUUAUACUACUUUGUUGUAUGGCCUGUCACCUGCAAGAAAAGCGUCCCAAGUGAAAUAGCUUUGGAAAUUGUGAAUUUUUCCAACGAGUUUUCACUUGUAAAAUUCCUUGCACGUGAAACGUCUCAAGUGAAAUAAUUUGGGAAAUUCGGAAUUUUUCCCAUGAAUUUUAACCUAUUCAAAUAUUAAAUUUAAAAUACAUUCAUAUUUACUAACAUUUUGAAUCAUUUUAUUUAAAUUGUAUUAUUUAAUUUUUCUGUUGAUUUACAGUAAUUGUUUGUAAAUCUAGUUUUUUGUUUUGUUAACUUGUCAUCGCCUUUCUUAAACAUUGCCCGGCUUCUCCGAAUCCAUGUCCAACGCAAAUAAGGGUAUAUGUUUAAAAAAAUGUGUUUUACUUGUAAACUUGUAUUUGUACCUUUUCGAUCUUUAUAAAACCAUUUGCGGGAUUUUUACUGUCACAAAACAUUCUAUCGCGCCACCUUUGGGUAUCGGAACCAGAAUUUGUAAGGUUAUGCUGUAAAACCUAUAAAACAUCUUAAAAAGGGACGUACUUUAAGAUUAGGUUAACGCACAUCUUGCACUUAAGGUAGCACUGACCUGAAUUUAUUAUUUUCUAAAAAUAUCACUUUUAUUAAUAUAAAAAGCUGUCGCAGCGCACAAUUUAAAGAGCCUGCACCAGGUCUUCUUUUGGUGUGGUUUGCGAAAAAAAAGAGCGGCCGAAGGUUGUCUCUCUGACAGCCGCGGGCAGGCAGAUUAUAAGGCACAGAAGGAAACUCCGAAGAUCUGCCUCUCCUUGUUGUCUCCUUUUCUACGCUGUGCCGGCUUAUCUGCUAGCGGCGACAGCGGCACGCAAUUUUCGGCUGCGAAUGCAGUGAGGAUAAACAAUCGGAAAACAAAUAAACAAACGUAGGUUCUGAUGUAAUUUUUACUAAGAGGCGAUAUCUGGAGAUAGCAACUGCCUGUUAAGGUAUCGACCCUCUGUUAAGGAUUAAGGUGAAUGAACUUGACUCUCCGCCAAUAAUAAGCCUCUUUUGCAAAUAACAUUGCAUUCCCGCUACGUUUGUUGAAUCAGAAUGAGCAUUCGGCAAGGAGGGCCAAAUUGUUUCAGAGAGACGAACCCGGGUAAUAGAGAAAAAUAUAAAUACUCUUUUAUUGUAAACCAAAACUUUUGAAUAAAGUAAACGAAUAUUUUUGAUA